GGAGGAAAAGAAACCAACCGGGAUUGCCUUAGUAACGGCGAGUGAAGCGGCAAAAGCUCAAAUUUGAAAUCUGGUACCUUCGGUGCCCGAGUUGUAAUUUGGAGAGGGCAACUUUGGGGCCGUUCCUUGUCUAUGUUCCUUGGAACAGGACGUCAUAGAGGGUGAGAAUCCCGUGUGGCGAGGAGUGCGGUUCUUUGUAAAGUGCCUUCGAAGAGUCGAGUUGUUUGGGAAUGCAGCUCUAAGUGGGUGGUAAAUUCCAUCUAAAGCUAAAUAUUGGCGAGAGACCGAUAGCGAACAAGUACAGUGAUGGAAAGAUGAAAAGAACUUUGAAAAGAGAGUGAAAAAGUACGUGAAAUUGUUGAAAGGGAAGGGCAUUUGAUCAGACAUGGUGUUUUGUGCCCUCUGCUCCUUGUGGGUAGGGGAAUCUCGCAUUUCACUGGGCCAGCAUCAGUUUUGGUGGCAGGAUAAAUCCAUAGGAAUGUAGCUUGCCUCGGUAAGUAUUAUAGCCUGUGGGAAUACUGCCAGCUGGGACUGAGGACUGCGACGUAAGUCAAGGAUGCUGGCAUAAUGGUUAUAUGCCG
rnacentral:rRNA from 1 species